rnacentral:rRNA from 1 species
UACGUAGGGGGCAAGCGUUGUCCGGAUUUAUUGGGCGUAAAGAGAGUGUAGGAGGCUAGGUAGGUCCGUUGUGAAAACUCGAGGCUCAACCUCGAGACGCCGGUGGAAACCAUCUAGCUAGAGUCCGGAAGAGGAGAGUGGAAUUCCUGGUGUAGCGGUGAAAUGCGCAGAUAUCAGGAAGAACACCCGUGGCGAAGGCGGCUCUCUGGGACGUGACUGACGCUGAGACGCGAAAGCGUGGGGAGCGAACAGG